rnacentral:rRNA from 1 species
CCUACGGGUGGCAGCAGUCGAGAAUUAUUCACAAUGGGGGAAACCCUGAUGGUGCGACGCCGCGUGGGGGAAUGAAGGUCUUCGGAUUGUAAACCCCUGUCAUGUGGGAGCAAAUUAAAAAGAUAGUACCACAAGAGGAAGAGACGGCUAACUCUGUGCCAGCAGCCGCGGUAAUACAGAGGUCUCAAGCGUUGUUCGGAAUCACUGGGCGUAAAGCGUGCGUAGGCUGUUUCGUAAGUCGUGUGUGAAAGGCGCGGGCUCAACCCGCGGACGGCACAUGAUACUGCGAGACUAGAGUGAUGGAGGGGGAACCGGAAUUCUCGGUGUAGCAGUGAAAUGCGUAGAUAUCGAGAGGAACACUCGUGGCGAAGGCGGGUUCCUGGACAUUAACUGACGCUGAGGCACGAAGGCGAGGGGAGCGAAAGGGAUUAGAUACCCUAGUAGUC